rnacentral:tmRNA from 1 species
GGCAUGGUACCGCCGUUAUCGGGCCAAACCUAGAAAUGCCAACGAUAACGAGGCAUUUGCAGUAGCCGCUUAAGGCUACGCGGGGUUCGGGGGGCACCUUGCAACAGAAGCCCCCCACU